rnacentral:tRNA from 1 species
GGGGCAUUAGCUCAGUUGGUAGAGCGCCGCACUCGCAUUGCGGAGGUCACCGGUUCGAAUCCGGUAUGCUCCA